CCUACGGGUAGCAGCAGUGGGGAAUAUUGGACAAUGGAGGAAACUCUGAUGUAGCAACGCCGCGUGAGCGAUGAAGUAUUUCGGUAUGUAAAGCUCUAUCAGGAGGGAAGAAAAUGACGGUACUUGACUAAGAAGCCGCGGCGAACUACGUGCCAGCAGCAGCGGUAGUACGUAGGGGGCAAGCAUUAUCCGGAUUUACUGGGUGUAAAGGGAGCGUCGGCGGUUCCGCAAGUCAGAUGUGAAAGCCCGGGGCUCAACCCCGGAACUGCAUUUGAAACUGUAAGGCUAGAGUGUAGGAGAGGCAAGCGGAAUUCCUAGUGUAGCGGUGGAAUGCGUAGAUAUUAGGAGGAACACCAGUGGCGAAGGCGGCCUGCUGGACGAUGACUGACGUUGAGGCUCGAAAGCGUGGGGAGCAAACAGGAUUAGAUACCCGAGUAGUC
rnacentral:rRNA from 1 species